rnacentral:rRNA from 1 species
AUUGAACGCUGGCGGCAGGCCUAACACAUGCAAGUCGAACGAGUGGCGGACGGGUGAGUAAUGUCUGGUAAACUGCCUGAUGGAGGGGAUAACUACUGGAAACGGUCGCUAAUACCGCAUACCAUCAGAUGUGCCCAUAUGGGCUUAGCUAGUUGGUGGGGUAACGGCUCACCAAGGCGACGAGCCCUAGCUGGUCUGGGAGGAUGACCAGCCACCAUGGAACUGAGCCACGGUCCAGACGCCUACGGGAGGCAGCAGUGGGGAAUAUUGCACAAUGGGCGCAAGCCUGAUGCAGCCAUGCCGCGUGUAUGAAGAAGGCCUUCGGGUUGUAAAGUACGUUCAGCGGGGAGGCGUUACCCGCAGAAGAAGCACCGGCUAACUCCGUGCCAGCCGCCGCGGUAAUAC